AUUGAACGCUGGCGGCAUGCUUUACACAUGCAAGUCGAACGGCAACAGGUUAAGCUGACGAGUGGCGAACGGGUGAGUAAUGCAUCGGAACGUGCCCGGGCGUGGGGGAUAACGCAGCGAAAGCUGCGCUAAUACCGCAUACGAUCUGAGGAUGAAAGCGGGGGACCGUAAGGCCUCGCGCGAUCGGAGCGGCCGAUGUCAGAUUAGGUAGUUGGUGGGGUAAAGGCUCACCAAGCCAACGAUCUGUAGCUGGUCUGAGAGGACGACCAGCCACACUGGGACUGAGACACGGCCCAGACUCCUACGGGAGGCAGCAGUGGGGAAUUUUGGACAAUGGGCGAAAGCCUGAUCCAGCAGUGCCGCGUGCAGGAAGAAGGCCUUCGGGUUGUAAACUGCUUUUGUACGGAGCGAAAAGGUCUCCUCUAAUACAGGGGGCUCAUGACGGUACCGUAAGAAUAAGCACCGGCUAACUACGUGCCAGCCGCCGCGGUAA
rnacentral:rRNA from 1 species